GUAAGGGGAGACAUGACAUAUAUAUAUAUAUAAUACACGGAGGUUAGCAGUGAGUAUAAAGGUGUGAGGUAAGGGGAGACAUGACAUAUAUAUAUAUAAUACAGGGAGGUUAGCUGUGAGUAUAAAGGUGUGAGGUAAGGGGAGACAUGACAUAUAUAUAUAUAUAAUACAGGGAGGUUAGCUGUGUGUAUAAAGGUGUGAGGUAAGGGGAGACAUGACAUAUAUAUAUAUAUAUAUAUAUAAUACAGGGAGGUUAGCAGUGAGUAUAAAGGUGUGAGGUAAGGGGAGACAUGACAUAUAUAUAUAUAAUACAGGGAGGUUAGCAGUGAGUAUAAAGGUGUGAGGUAAGGGGAGACAUGACAUAUAUAUAUAUAUAAUACAGGGAGGUUAGCAGUGAGUAUAAAGGUGUGAGGUAAGGGGAGACAUGACAUAUAUAUAUAUAUAUAUAAUACAGGGAGGUUAGCAGUGAGUAUAAAGGUGUGAGGUAAGGGGAGACAUGACAUAUAUAUAUAUAUAUAAUACAGGGAGGUUAGCAGUGAGUAUAAAGGUGUGAGGUAAGGGGAGACAUGACAUAUAUAUAUAUAUAAUACAGGGAGGUGAGCAGUGAGUAUAAAGGUGUGAGGUAAGGGGAGACAUGACAUAUAUAUAUAUAUAUAAUACAGGGAGGUUAGCAGUGAGUAUAAAGGUGUGAGGUAAGGGGAGACAUGACAUAUAUAUAUAUAAUACAGGGAGGUGAGCAGUGAGUAUAAAGGUGUGAGGUAAGGGGAGACAUGACAUAUAUAUAUAUAUAAUACAGGGAGGUGAGCAGUGAGUAUAAAGGUGUGAGGCAAGGGGAGACAUGACAUAUAUAUAUAUAUAUAAUACAGGGAGGUUAGCAGUGAGUAUAAAGUGUGAGGUAAGGGGAGACAUGACAUAUAUAUAUAUAUAAUACAGGGAGGUUAGCAGUGAGUAUAAAGGUGUGAGGUAAGGGGAGACAUGACAUAUAUAUAUAUAUAUAUAAUACAGGGAGGUUAGCAGUGAGUAUAAAGGUGUGAGGUAAGGGGAGACAUAACAUAUAUAUAUAUAAUACACGGAGGUUAGCAGUGAGUAUAAAGGUGUGAGGUAAGGGGAGACAUGACAUAUAUAUAUAUAAUACAGGGAGGUUAGCUGUGAGUAUAAAGGUGUGAGGUAAGGGGAGACAUGACAUAUAUAUAUAUAUAAUACAGGGAGGUUAGCAGUGAGUAUAAAGGUGUGAGGUAAGGAGAGACAUGACAUAUAUAUAUAUAUAUAUAUAUAUAUAUAUAUAUAUAUAUAUAUAUAUAAUUCAGGGAGGUUAGCAGUGAGUAUAAAGGUGUGAGGUAAGGGGAGACAUGACAUAUAUAUAUAUAAUACAGGGAGGUUAGCAGAGAGUAUAAAGGUGUGAGGUAAGGGGAGACAUGACAUAUAUAUAUAUAAUACAGGGAGGUUAGCAGUGAAUAUAAAGUGUGAGGUAAGGGGAGACAUGACAUAUAUAUAUAAUACAGGGAGGUUAGCAGUGAGUAUAAAGGUGUGAGGUAAGAGGAGACAUGACACAUAUAUAUAUAUAUAUAAAAUACAGGGAGGUUAGCAGUGAGUAUAAAGGUGUGAGGUAAGGGGAGACAUGACAUAUAUAUAUAUAUAAUACAGGGAGGUUAGCUGUGAGUAUAAAGGUGUGAGGUAAGGGGAGACAUGACAUAUAUAUAUAUAUAUAAUACAGGGAGGUUAGCAGUGAGUAUAAAGGUGUGAGGUAAGGGGAGACAUGACAUAUAUAUAUAUAAUACAGGGAGGUUAGCUGUGAGUAUAAAGGUGUGAGGUAAGGGGAGACAUGACAUAUAUAUAUAUAUAUAUAUAUAAUACAGGGAGGUUAGCAGUGAGUAUAAAGGUGUGAGGUAAGGGGAGACAUGACAUAUAUAUAUAUAUAAUACAGGGAGGUUAGCAGUGAGUAUAAAGUGUGAGGUAAGGGGAGACAUGACAUAUAUAUAUAUAUACAGGGAGGUUAGCAGUGAGUAUAAAGGUGUGAGGUAAGGGGAGACAUGACAUAUAUAUAUAUAUAAUACAGGGAGGUUAGCAGUGAGUAUAAAGGUGUGAGGUAAGGGGAGACAUGACACAUAUAUAUAUAAUACAGGGAGGUUAGCAGUGAGUAUAAAGGUGUGAGGUAAGGGGAGACAUGACAUAUAUAUAUAUAUAUAUAUAAUACAGGGAGGUUAGCAGUGAGUAUAAAGGUGUGAGGUAAGGGGAGACAUGACAUAUAUAUAUAUAUAAUACACGGAGGUUAGCAGUGAGUAUAAAGGUGUGAGGUAAGGGGAGACAUGACAUAUAUAUAUAUAAUACAGGGAGGUUAGCUGUGAGUAUAAAGGUGUGAGGUAAGGGGAGACAUGACAUAUAUAUAUAUAAUACAGGGAGGUUAGCAGUGUGUAUAAAGGUGUGAGGUAAGGGGAGACAUGACAUAUAUAUAUAUAUAUAAUACAGGGAGGUUAGCAGUGAGUAUAAAGGUGUGAGGUAAGGGGAGACAUGACAUAUAUAUAUAUAAUACAGGGAGGUUAGCAGAGAGUAUAAAGGUGUGAGGUAAGGGGAGACAUGACAUAUAUAUAUAUAAUACAGGGAGGUUAGCAGAGAGUAUAAAGGUGUGAGGUAAGGGGAGACAUGACAUAUAUAUAUAUAUAAUACAGGGAGGUUAGCAGUGAGUAUAAAGGUGUGAGGUAAGGGGGAGAUAUGACAUAUAUAUAUAAAAUAUAGGGAGGUUAGCAGUGAGUACACAGGUGUGAGGUAAGGGGAGACAUGAUAUAUAUAUAUAUAUAAUACAGGGAGGUUAGCAGUGAGUAUAAAGGUGUGAGGCAAGGGGAGACAUGACAUAUAUAUAUAUAUAAUACAGGGAGGUUAGCAGUGAGUACACAGGUGUGAGGUAAGGGGAGACAUGACAUAUAUAUAUAUAUAAUACAGGGAGGUUAGCAGUGAGUACACAGGUGUGAGGCAAGGGGAGACAUGGCAUAUAUAUAUAUAUAUAAUACAGGGAGGUUAGCGGUGAGUAUAAAGGUGUGAGGUAAGGGGAGACAUGACAUAUAUAUAUAUAAUACAGGGAGGUUAGCAGUGAGUAUAAAGGUGUGAGGUAAGGGGAGACAUGACAUAUAUAUAUAUAUAUAUAUAAUACAGGGGGUUAGCAGUGAGUAUAAAGGUGUGAGGUAAGGGGAGACAUGACACAUAUAUAUAUAAUACAGGGAGGUUAGCAGUGAGUAUAAAGGUGUGAGGUAAGGGGAGACAUGACAUAUAUAUAUAUAAUACAGGGAGGUUAGCAGUGAGUAUAAAGGUGUGAGGUAAGGGGAGACAUGACAUAUAUAUAUAUAUAAUACAGGGAGGUUAGCAGUGAGUAUAAAGGUGUGAGGUAAGGGGAGACAUGACAUAUAUAUAUAUAUAUAUAAUACAGGGAGGUUAGCAGUGAGUAUAAAGGUGUGAGGUAAGGGGAGACAUUACAUAUAUAUAUAUAUAAUACAGGGAGGUUAGCAGUGAGUAUAAAGUGUGAGGUAAGGGGAGACAUGACAUAUAUAUAUAAUACAGGGAGGUUAGCAGUGAGUAUAAAGUGUGAGGUAAGGGGAGACAUGACAUAUAUAUAUAUAUAAUACAGGGAGGUUAGCAGUGAGUAUAAAGGUGUGAGGUAAGGGGAGACAUGACAUAUAUAUAUAUAUAUAAUACAGGGAGGUUAGCAGUGAGUAUAAAGGUGUGAGGUAAGGGGAGACAUAACAUAUAUAUAUAUAUAAUACAGGGAGGUUAGCUGUGAGUAUAAAGGUGUGAGGUAAGGGGAGACAUGACAUAUAUAUAUAUAUAAUACAGGGAGGUUAGCAGCGAGUAUAAAGGUGUGAGGUAAGGGGAGACAUGACAUAUAUAUAUAUAUAAUACACGGAGGUUAGCAGUGAGUAUAAAGGUGUGAGGUAAGGGGAGACAUGACAUAUAUAUAUAAUACAGGGAGGUUAGCAGUGAGUAUAAAGGUGUGAGGUAAGGGGAGACAUGACAUAUAUAUAUAUAAUACAGGGAGGUUAGCAGUGAGUAUAAAGGUGUGAGGUAAGGGGAGACAUGACAUAUAUAUAUAUAAUACACGGAGGUUAGCAGUGAGUAUAAAGGUGUGAGGUAAGGGGAGACAUGACAUAUAUAUAUAUAAUACAGGGAGGUUAGCUGUGAGUAUAAAGGUGUGAGGUAAGGGGAGACAUGACAUAUAUAUAUAUAAUACAGGGAGGUUAGCAGUGAGUAUAAAGGUGUUAGGUAAGGGGAGACAUGACAUAUAUAUAUAUAUAUAUAUAUAUAUAUAUAUAUAUAUAUAUAUAUAUAUAUAAUACAGGGAGGUUAGCAGUGAGUAUAAAGGUGUGAGGUAAGGGGAGACAUGACAUAUAUAUAUAUAUAAUACAGGGAGGUUAGCAGAGAGUAUAAAGGUGUGAGGUAAGGGGAGACAUGACAUAUAUAUAUAUAAUACAGGGAGGUUAGCAGUGAAUAUAAAGUGUGAGGUAAGGGGAGACAUGACAUAUAUAUAUAAUACAGGGAGGUUAGCAGUGAGUAUAAAGGUGUGAGGUAAGAGGAGACAUGACACAUAUAUAUAUAUAUAUAAAAUACAGGGAGGUUAGCAGUGAGUAUAAAGGUGUGAGGUAAGGGGAGACAUGACAUAUAUAUAUAUAUAAUACAGGGAGGUUAGCAGUGAGUAUAAAGGUGUGAGGUAAGGGGAGACAUGACAUAUAUAUAUAUAUAUAAUACAGGGAGGUUAGCUGUGAGUAUAAAGGUGUGAGGUAAGGGGAGACAUGACAUAUAUAUAUAUAUAUAUAUAAUACAGGGAGGUUAGCUGUGAGUAUAAAGGUGUGAGGUAAGGGGAGACAUGACAUAUAUAUAUAUAUAUAUAUAUAUAAUACAGGGAGGUUAGCAGUGAGUAUAAAGGUGUGAGGUAAGGGGAGACAUUACAUAUAUAUAUAUAUAUAAUACAGGGAGGUUAGCAGUGAGUAUAAAGGUGUGAGGUAAGGGGAGACAUGACAUAUAUAUAUAUAAUACAGGGAGGUUAGCAGUGAGUACAAAGGUGUGAGGUAAGGGGAGACAUGACAUAUAUAUAUAUAUAUAAUACAGGGAGGUUAGCAGUGAGUAUAAAGGUGUGAGGUAAGGGGAGACAUGACAUAUAUAUAUAUAAUACACGGAGGUUAGCAGUGAGUAUAAAGGUGUGAGGUAAGGGGAGACAUGACAUAUAUAUAUAUAAUACAGGGAGGUUAGCAGUGAGUACAAAGGUGUGAGGUAAGGGGAGACAUGACAUAUAUAUAUAUAUAUAAUACAGGGAGGUUAGCAGUGAGUAUAAAGGUGUGAGGUAAGGGGAGACAUGACAUAUAUAUAUAUAAUACACGGAGGUUAGCAGUGAGUAUAAAGGUGUGAGGUAAGGGGAGACAUGACAUAUAUAUAUAUAAUACAGGGAGGUUAGCUGUGAGUAUAAAGGUGUGAGGUAAGGGGAGACAUGACAUAUAUAUAUAUAAUACAGGGAGGUUAGCAGUGAGUAUAAAGGUGUGAGGUAAGGGGAGACAUGACAUAUAUAUAUAUAUAUAAUACAGGGAGGUUAGCAGUGAAUAUAAAGGUGUGAGGUAAGGGGAGACAUGACAUAUAUAUAUAUAAUACAGGGAGGUUAGCAGAGAGUAUAAAGGUGUGAGGUAAGGGGAGACAUGACAUAUAUAUAUAUAAUACAGGGAGGUUAGCAGUGAAUAUAAAGUGUGAGGUAAGGGGAGACAUGACAUAUAUAUAUAUAUAAUACAGGGAGGUUAGCUGUGAGUAUAAAGGUGUGAGGUAAGAGGAGACAUGACACAUAUAUAUAUAUAUAUAAAAUACAGGGAGGUUAGCAGUGAGUAUAAAGGUGUGAGGUAAGGGGCGACAUGACAUAUAUAUAUAUAAUACAGGGAGGUGAGCAGUGAGUAUAAAGGUGUGAGGUAAGGGGAGACAUGACAUAUAUAUAUAUAUAAUACAGGGAGGUGAGCAGUGAGUAUAAAGGUGUGAGGUAAGGGGAGACAUGACAUAUAUAUAUAUAUAAUACAGGGAGGUGAGCAGUGAGUAUAAAGGUGUGAGGCAAGGGGAGACAUGACAUAUAUAUAUAUAUAUAAUACAGGGAGGUUAGCAGUGAGUAUAAAGGUGUGAGGUAAGGGGAGACAUGACAUAUAUAUAUAUAUAAAAUACAGGGAGGUUAGCAGUGAGUAUAAAGGUGUGAGGUAAGGGGAGACAUGACAUAUAUAUAUAUAAUACAGGGAGGUUAGCAGUGAGUAUAAAGGUGUGCGGUAAGAGGAGACAUGACAUAUAUAUAUAUAUAAUACAGGGAGGUUAGCAGUGACUAUAAAGGUGUGAGGUAAGGGGAGACAUGACAUAUAUAUAUAUAUAAUACAGGGAGGUAAGCAGUGUGUACACAGGUGUGAGGUAAGGGGAGACAUGACAUAUAUAUAUAUAUAAUACAGGGAGGUUAGCAGUGAGUAUAAAGGUGUGAGGUAAGGGGAUACAUGACAUAUAUAUAUAUAAUACAGGGAGGUUAGCAGUGAGUAUAAAGGUGUGAGGUAAGGGGAGACAUGACAUAUAUAUAUAUAUAUAUAUAUAUAUAAUACAGGGAGGUUAGCAGUGAGUAUAAAGGUGUGAGGUAAGGGGAUACAUGACAUAUAUAUAUAUAUAUAUAUAUAUAUAUAAUACAGGGAGGUAAGCAGUGUGUACACAGGUGUGAGGUAAGGGGAGACAUGACAUAUAUAUAUAUAUAAUACAGGGAGGUUAGCAGUGAGUAUAAAGGUGUGAGGUAAGGGGAGACAUGACAUAUAUAUAUAUAAUACAGGGAGGUAAGCAGUGUGUACACAGGUGUGAGGUAAGGGGAGACAUGACAGAUAUAUAUAUAUAUAUAAUACAGGGAGGUAAGCAGUGAGUAUAAAGGUGUGAGGUAAGGGGAGACAUGACAUAUAUAUAUAUAUAUAUAUAAUACACGGAGGUGAGCAGUGAGUAUAAAGGUGUGAGGUAAGGGGAGACAUGACAUAUAUAUAUAUAAUACAGGGAGGUUAGCAGUGAGUAUAAAGGUGUGAGGUAAGGGGAGACAUGACAUAUAUAUAUAUAUAUAUAAUACAGGGAGGUUAGCAGUGAGUAUAAAGGUGUGAGGUAAGGGGAGACAUGACAUAUAUAUAUAUAAUACAGGGAGGUUAGCAGUGAAUAUAAAGGUGUGAGGUAAGGGGAUACAUGACAUAUAUAUAUAUAUAUAUAUAUAAUACAGGGAGGUUAGCAGUGAGUAUAAAGGUGUGAGGUAAGGGGAUACAUGACACAUAUAUAUAUAAUACAGGGAGGUUAGCAGUGAGUAUAAAGGUGUGAGGUAAGGGGAGACAUGACAUAUAUAUAUAUAUAUAAUACAGGGAGGUUAGCAGUGAAUAUAAAGGUGUGAGGUAAGGGGAGACAUGACAUAUAUAUAUAUAUAUAUAUAUAUAUAUAUAUAUAUAUAAUACAGGGAGGUUAGCAGUGAGUAUAAAGGUGUGAGGUAAGGGGAUACAUGACAUAUAUAUAUAUAUAUAUAUAAUACAGGGAGGUUAGCAGUGAGUAUAAAGGUGUGAGGUAAGGGGAGACAUGACAUAUAUAUAUAUAUAAUACAGGGAGGUUAGCAGUGAGUAUAAAGGUGUGAGGUGAGGGGAGACAUGACAUAUAUAUAUAUAAUACAGGGAGGUUAGCAGUGAGUAUAAAGGUGUGAGGUAAGGGGAGACAUGACAUAUAUAUAUAUAAUACAGGGAGGUUAGCGGUGAGUAUAAAGGUGUGAGGUAAGAGGAGACAUGACAUAUAUAUAUAUAAUACAGGGAGGUUAGCAGUGAGUAUAAAGGUGUGAGGUAAGGGGAGACAUGACACAUAUAUAUAUAUAUAAUACAGGGAGGUUAGCGGUGAGUAUAAAGGUGUGAGGUGAGGGGAGACAUGACAUAUAUAUAUAUAUAUAUAAUACAGGGAGGUAAGCAGUGUGU